AGUGAAGAAGGUUUUCGGAUCGUAAAACUCUGUUGUUAGAGAAGAACAAGGACGUUAGUAACUGAACGUCCCCUGACGGUAUCUAACCAGAAAGCCACGGCUAACUACGUGCCAGCAGCCGCGGUAAUACGUAGGUGGCAAGCGUUGUCCGGAUUUAUUGGGCGUAAAGCGAGCGCAKGCGGUUUCUUAAGUCUGAUGUGAAAGCCCCCGGCUCAACCGGGGAGGGUCAUUGGAAACUGGGAGACUUGAGUGCAAAGAGGAGAGUGGAAUUCCAUGUGUAGCGGUGAAAUGCGUASAUAUAUGGAGGAACACCAGUGGCGACGGCGGC
rnacentral:rRNA from 1 species